UACGGAGGGGGCUAAAGUUGUUCGGAAUUACUGGGCGUAAAGGGCGCGCAGGCGGCUGCUCAAGUCAGGCGUGAAAGGCCUGGGCUCAAACCGGGAAUUGCGCUUGAGACUGGGCUGGCUUGAACGCGGGAGAGGAUGGUGGAAUUCCCAGUGUAGAGGUGAAAUUCGUAGAUAUUGGGAAGAACACCGGUGGCGAAGGCGGCCAUCUGGACCGCAACUGAUGCUGAGGCGCGAAAGCGUGGGGAGCAAACAGG
rnacentral:rRNA from 1 species